rnacentral:rRNA from 1 species
AUUACUGUCUCCUUAUGGCUCAAUGAAAUUUAAUUUUUAGGUGAAGAAGCCUAAAUAAAAUUGAAAGACAAGAAGACCCUAUCGAGCUUUAAAGAAAUUAAUAAACACAAAAUAAUGUUUACCAGAAUAUCAAUUAUUAAAAAUUUUAGUUGGGGCGACAAAGGAACAAACAAAGCUUCCUCUACUUAAAUAGAUACUUUCAGAUAUAGACCCAAAAUAUUUUGACUAAAGAAAAUAGUUACCGUAGGGAUAACAGCAUAAUCUUUUUCAAGAGUUCUUAUCGAAAAAAAGGUUUGUGACCUCGAUG